rnacentral:rRNA from 1 species
ACGAACGCUGGCCGCUUGCUUAACACAUGCAAGUCGAACGAUGAAGCGGUGCUUGCACCGUGGAUUAGUGGCGAACGGGUGAGUAAUACGUGGGUGACCUACCUUUGACUCUGGGAUAAGCCUGGGAAACUGGGUCUAAUACCGGAUACGACCAAUCCCUGCAUGGGGUGUUGGUGGAAAGCGUUAUGGAGUGGUUUUAGAUGGGCUCACGGCCUAUCAGCUUGUUGGUGAGGUAAUGGCUUACCAAGGCGACGACGGGUAGCCGGCCUGAGAGGGUGACCGGCCACACUGGGACUGAGACACGGCCUAGACUCCUACGGGAGGCAGCAGUGGGGAAUAUUGCACAAUGGGCGCAAGCCUGAUGCAGCGACGCCGCGUGAGGGAUGACGGCCUUCGGGUUGUAAACCUCUGUUAGCAUCGAAGAAGCGAAAGUGACGGUAGGUGCAGAGAAAGCGCCGGCUAACUACGUG